UGAGGAGAGCACAGGGAUUGCCCUAGUAACGGCGAGUGAAGCGGCAACAGCUCAAAUUUGAAAUCUGGCUUCGGCCCGAGUUGUAAUUUGUAGAGGAUGCUUUUGGUGCGGUGCCUUCUGAGUUCCCUGGAACGGGACGCCACAGAGGGUGAGAGCCCCGUAUAGUUGGACACCAAGCCUCUGUAAAGCUCCUUCGACGAGUCGAGUAGUUUGGGAAUGCUGCUCAAAAUGGGAGGUAAAUGCCUUCUAAAGCUAAAUACUGGCCAGAGACCGAUAGCGCACAAGUAGAGUGAUCGAAAGAUGAAAAGCACUUUGAAAAGAGGGUUAAACAGCACGUGAAAUUGUUGAAAGGGAAGCGCUUGUGACCAGACUUGCGCCAGGUGGAUCAUCCAGCGUUCUCGCUGGUGCACUCUGCCUGGUUCAGGCCAGCAUCGGUUUUCUCAGUGGGAUAAAGGCUCUGGGAAUGUAGCUCCCCCGGGAGUGUUAUAGCCCGUUGCACAAUACCUCUGAGGGGACCGAGGUUCGCGCACUGCAAGGAUGCUGGCGUAAUGGUCAUCAGCGGCCCGUCUUGAAACACGGACCAAGGAGUCAAGCAUUAGGGCGAGUGUUUGGGUGCAAAACCCGCACGCGUAAUGAAAGUGAACGUAGGUGAGAGCUUCGGCGCAUCAUCGACCGAUCCUGAUGUAUUCGGAUGGAUUUGAGUAAGAGCCUUACCGCUUGGACCCGAAAGAUGGUGAACUAUGCUUGUAUAGGGUGAAGCCAGAGGAAACUCUGGUGGAGGCUCGCAGCGGUUCUGACGUGCAAAUCGAUCGUCAAAUAUGAGCAUGGGGGCGAAAGACUAAUCGAACUAUCUAGUAGCUGGUUCCGCAGUUUUUCCUCCCCCAUAGAAAUAAAAGAGAAAGGGGUG
rnacentral:rRNA from 1 species